UACGUAGGGGCAAGCGUUGUCCGGAAUCACUGGGCGUAAAGGGUGCGUAGGCGGGUUUUAAGUCAGAGGUGAAAUCCUGGAGCUCAACUCCAGAACUGCCUUUGAUACUGAGGAUCUUGAGUUCGGGAGAGGUGAGUGGAACUGCGAGUGUAGAGGUGAAAUUCGUAGAUAUUCGCAAGAACACCAGUGGCGAAGGCGGCUCACUGGCCCGAGUACUGACGCUGAGGCACGGAAAGCGAUGGGGAGCAAAC
rnacentral:rRNA from 1 species